rnacentral:rRNA from 1 species
CGCAUCUGUGCAUGCAGCAUAUCAAUAAGCGGAGGAAAAGAAACUAACAAGGAUUCCCUCAGUAACGGCGAGUGAAGCGGGAAGAGCUCAAAUUUGAAAUCUUGAAAGGUCACCUUUCACGAAUUGUAGUUUAAAGAAGUGUUUUCUGUUACGAUCGUAAUAUAAGUUCUUUGGAAUAGGACAUCACAGAGGGUGAGAAUCCCGUCUAUGAUUGCGAUUUGUAGCUUUGUGAUACACUUUCAAAGAGUCGGGUUGUUUGGGAAUGCAGCCCAAAACGGGAGGUAAAUUUCUUCUAAGGCUAAAUAUUGGCGAGAGACCGAUAGCGAACAAGUACCGUGAGGGAAAGAUGAAAAGAACUUUGAAAAGAGAGUUAAAUAGUACGUGAAAUUGUCAAAAGGGAAGCGUUUAACACCAGUGUUGUUUUCUGAAAAUCAACCUCUGUUAGCUUUAUGCAUGUUUGUUUAGACCUAAUCAGCUAUCUUGCAUGUUCUAUUGUUUGCAGUGGUGCACUUUUCAGUUUACAGGUCAACAUCAGUUUUUUUUACCGUAAAAAAGUUAAAGAAAGGUAGCUCAUGGCUCCGGUCGUGAGUGUUAUAGUCUUUUUCCUAUGCGGUAGGAGAGACUGAGGUCUGCAGUGUAGGCUAUUUGGCUAGAUACUCAGGUGCUAUGUGAUACCAUUUCAUAAACAACUUGCUGAUUAUGUUUUGUCUAUUGCAUACUCGCUUGUACUAUCAUACCUACGCUUAGGAUGUUGACGAUCAGCUGAGCGCG